rnacentral:lncRNA from 1 species
AAGAGGUAUGCCCUGACCGCAGAGGCCUUUAGACCAGAAAAGGCUGCACUACCAAUGUAGACGUUGAAUUGACCAUGCAAGCGAGCGCAUUUUAGUGACCCGUGUCAACAACAGUUGCGUCCAACCCCCUUUACAUAUACCUACCAGCAGAUGGCAGUGUUGCCUCAGAGCUGCAGAACUACUGCUGCUGCUCUGCUGCCCUCUUGGCUUCUGCAUGGAAACGGAAGGCUGUGUGUGUGUCCUGCCUGGUGCACCAGGUGUGCAGGUGAUGCUGUUGGUCUGUGGUGAGACCCCUGGGGUGCGGGACUGCUGGAUCCAAACUACUGCAAAGCCCAUGAGAUGAUGAGAGGGAGGGGAGGGGAAAAACAACAACAGCAGUGAUACUGUAGAUGCAUACACAGCCUCCCUUUGUAGUCUUCUCAUGCAUUUCACAGCGUGCUCCAAGGCACAGCGAUUGGUCUCCUCUACUAUGUCUCCCACCAGCUCCUCUGUUAGAAAUGCCAAGGGGUGUUGCACUCCAGGCUGGGACUCAUCAAAGCAAACAGCAGGGCCAGGAGGGGUGAAAUGGCUGGCGGCCUUCCAGCUACCACAGAACUCCUGUACUUCAUCCACUGUUGGUCUGCCUCCAUCACCACCAGCAUCUUCAAAGGGACCUAUGUCUUCGUCAGUGGACAAGGAAUCCUCAGAUUCAGGGUUCUCAAUGGCUACAAGGUUGGGGGGCAGCUCCUCACUGUCACUGUCAGAAUCUGAUUCCUGACUUUCAGACUAAUUGUCAGAAUUGAAAAAAUCUCCAGAAUUUCUGCAUUUGUGAGUUGUCUCCUUUUGAAAAACAUAGCUAAUGCUACAGCUUAUCUCACUAGCUAUAUACAUAAACAACAACACUGAAUGGCUCAGUGGGAGUGAGAGGUUACGUGAAUGACUGCCAUGCCACUUGUAUCAAUAAAUCACUCAGAAAAUGUUUUGUGUGGUAAUUAUUGAUACAUUUACUGUUUUAUUCACAUGUUUUCAAGUACUAUUGACAAAUCAUGCAUUCCGAUUCUUGCGGAGAUUGUAAUGGGCACAUAUUAUGUGUGUAAAAUACUUUUUUGAAGGUUGUACUGAUUCUGAUGAGCUAAGCUAAUUCCAGCUAUGUGUGGAGCCAUGUUUGUUGACAUACAAUGCAUUCUGGGUGUCACGUAAUUUUCUGUCGGACCAAAGAUGUUAUAACAAAAUUAGGUGAGUAAGGGUUCACAAAUUUUUUGAGAACUUCGGAAGUGAAUGGUGGGAUGUGAACGAUGGUAGACAACACACCCCCUUCAACACGCAUACUAUAAACAGACCAAACUCAUCUUGUCUUCUCUUAUUAUCUUUGGUUUCUCUGAGAAAAUAAAAACAUGGAGGCGUGCAGAAACUACCCAUCGUCGGAUUACUUUCGAUUUAUAUAAAGUGUUUUACUCAAUUAUUUCGGUCAAUGCUGAGCUCACCCGUGAUGUGAUUAAUUAUAAUAGUAAUUGCUAUUAGCUAAUUCAUAUUGUAGUUUAUGUCAGGCGAGAGUUAUAAAAAUAUGACCGCUUGUGUUAUGUCAAUCUUUCCUCAGUUAGCGCUAGGACAAAUGUAGCCUACAUUUUUUUCGGUUUGGAUGAUUGUGUUAUGCUGUAGAUACUUCUGUGAAUGUCUGAACAUUGCAUCUAAAAAUAAACUGCUCACAUUGUGGACAUAA